AUUGAUUAACCUGCCCUGGUUUGAGGAGAGUUGGAGUUGAUGUUCACGUGAGACGUGCUAGGAAGGUCGCUGUGGCUGGCCGACUGAUGUGGAUUCCCUCCCGAGCUGCAUUUGGUAAUGCCUGCUGAGCUUGCCUGCGUGUAUAUAUGUACUGCACAUGCAUGCCUGGUACCUGAGGAGGUCAGAAGAGGUCAUUGGAUACUCUGGAACAGAAGUUAUAAGUUCUACAAGAGCAACAGCCUCUAAAAAGCAUCCAUGAGCUGCGGAUGACCAGCUGAAACCUCAGCUCAUUCUCGGUCAGAGGUUCAAAGACACAGCGAGCAUAGACACACCUUGCUCUGAAGCAUCAGGCCCAUUCACAGGCUAUUGGUUUCCACAGCACUGCACACAGGCCUGCCCGUACAUCGGAGACUCUGGAAUGCCCAAAACAUGUCACUCACUCUAUCUCGUUUGUUUAUUUCUGCUACUGUGAGUGCGUGCGUGCAUGCGUGUGUGUGUGUGUGUGUGUGUGUGUGUGUGUGUGUAGGUGCUUGCUCCCUUGGUGUGCAUGCAGAGGGCAGAGCAGGAUGUUGAGACAGGGUCUCUCACUGAAACAGAAGUUCCCCAUUUCAGCUAGACUGGCUGGCCAGUAAGAUCUGGAUAUUCACCUCCUUUUGUACCCUGGUAGGCACCUCAGCAAUGCCCAGAUUUUUAUUUUUUAUUUUUUAAUAUGGGAGCUGUGGAUUUAAACUUCCUUAUUCACUGAGCCACCUCUCCAACUGUCCCCAUUCCCUACCCCCUUAAUAUAGGAUAGGGUCUUAUUAUGGAGCCCAGGCCAGACUCAUACUUAAAAUCCUCCCACCUCAGCCACCAGAGUACUGGGAUUAUAGGUGUAUGCCACCAUGCCUGCCUCUCUUGUCCCUUUGAAAGAUGAGAGGUGCUGGUUUUCUUUCCAGAAACAAGAACUGUUUAGACACAGUUCUGCUUCCCCAGGGAAAUUCAAAUCUGCUCCCAAUCUGGUGAGAGCAGAGUUCCCAUGGAACAUUGGGUUAGCAGGCUUGGACCUGCCACUUCCGGCAAGCACUCUCCUCUGGCUGGCUCGCAGGCUGAGUUUUCAGGUAUUGUCACAUGUCACAGCCUGCUUAGCUGGCCUUUGCCUCACUGAAAAAUGCCGGGAUGGAAUACGUCAGCUGGUUGUAUUUGUCCCUCAGCCACAAAGGCUCAUCCAGGGGUGCUCAGAAAUGGUCCACGUGGCUUUUGUCAGUCUGUGACAAGACUCCUGUAGCAAAUAAUGUCAUCGGCUCAUCCCUCAGACUCCCAGGUCAUCUGCUAAGGAAGACAGUGAAGGAGGAAGGAUUUGGGGCAAGGCAGCAGCUGCUGAGUCAGAAUGAUGGUAUUAGGAGACUUACAAGAGAGGCUCACAGGCCAGGUUUCUUCUGCUUCAGAGUUAGCCUUCUGCUGCCCUUCCAGGAUCUAACGGUAGAGGAGAGCAGGCAGCAGAAGGCAGGGGAAGCAGCUAAAGAUGUGACCAGGAAUCCUGUGCUUGUGACUGCUUGAGCUGAAAUGGGAAAAGCUCCUUUAGAGAGAUUGCUCAGCCACUGUUCCUUCUAAACCAGUGUGACUCCUGGUAGAUCACUGGCUGUUUGUCCCUCAUUCGGAGAAGGAAUGGCCUACAGUGGGGGACUUGGUAAGAACUCAGUUGAUGGAUCCCCUCCUUGCCUGUCUCAUCUGUAAAACAGGGAGUCAUUACAUAUAAAGAGUGGUGAAGAUUAAAUAAUAGACAUACGUGCUCAGUGACUGUAAAUGGGAGGCGUGAUUUUAGACUACUAAAGAAAAAAAUAAGUUAAUGGUUUCAAAAGCCCUAGGAGACUUAAUAGUAUUGUUCUUGUCAGAACCUUCUUCUUGGGGGUCAGAGAGACAGCUUAGUGGGCAAAGGCACCUACCAUCAAACCUGAUAACCCAAGUCUGAUUUCUAGAACCCACACAGUGGAAGGAGAGAAUUAAUUCCCACCUGCGGACCAGCUGAAACCACCUUUGCAUGCUCUGGGUCACCUUAUAAGAGAACUCACACCACCUCCUCUCUCUCUCUCUCUCUCUCUCUCUCUCUCUCUGUCUCUCUCUCUCCCCCUCUCUCCCACCCUACCCAGAGACAGUCUCUGCGACCCUUCCCCCUUCUGUUAAUAAA